UUGCACGUCAUUUUUAUUAAGCCUACUAUCCUGUCUUAAAAAAUGCAGAUAGGUCAACGGCUGAUCUAAGGAACAGAUGAUUUGUCCGGCCUAUGUCGAGUGUGUGGGGUGUAUGACACAGAUGUGCAAUGGAUCGCUUGAACACUGUGUGACAGUUGGUUUCACUUCAGCUGUGUUCGGCAACCACCGGUUGAUGGUGACUUCUAUUGCCCACUG